rnacentral:rRNA from 1 species
UACGUAGGGUGCAGGCGUUAAUCGGAAUUACUGGGCGUAAAGCGUGCGCAGGCGGUUUGCUAAGGCAGGUGUGAAAUCCCCGGGCCUAACCUGGGAACUGCGCUUGUAACUGGCAAGCUAGAGUGUGGCAGAGGGGGGUGGAAUUCCAAGUGUAGCAGUGAAAUGCGUAGAUAUUUGGAGGAACACCGAUGGCGAAGGCAGCCCCCUGGGAUAACACUGACGCUCAUGCACGAAAGCGUGGGGAGCAAACAGG